GGGCACAUGGUGUAGUGGUAUCACAUCCGCUCCGCAUGCGGAAGGCCCUGGGCUCAAUCCCCAGUGUGUCCA
rfam:Symbiodinium microadriaticum strain CCMP2467 Smic.scaffold339, whole genome shotgun sequence.